UACGGAGGGACUAGCGUUGUUCGGAAUUACUGGGCGUAAAGCGCACGUAGGCGGAUUUGUAAGUCAGGGUGAAAUCCCGGGGCUCAACCUCGGAACUGCCUUUGAUACUGCCAAUCUCGAGUCCGGAAGAGGUGAGUGGAAUUCCUAGUGUAGAGGUGAAAUUCGUAGAUAUUAGGAAGAACACCAGUGGCGAAGGCGGCUCACUGGUCCGGUACUGACGCUGAGGUGCGAAAGCGUGGGGA
rnacentral:rRNA from 1 species